AUUGAACGCUGGCGGCAUGCUUUACACAUGCAAGUCGAACGGCAGCGCGGGCUUCGGCCUGGCGGCGAGUGGCGAACGGGUGAGUAAUGCAUCGGAACGUGCCCAGUAGUGGGGGAUAGCACGGCGAAAGCCGGAUUAAUACCGCAUACGACCUGAGGGUGCAAGCGGGGGACCGAAAGGCCUCGCGCUAUUGGAGCGGCCGAUGUCGGAUUAGCUAGGUGGUGGGGUAAAGGCUUACCAAGGCGACGAUCCGUAGCUGGUCGGAGAGGACGACCGGCCACACGGGAACUGGGACACGGCCCAGGCGCCUACGGGAGGCAGCAGUGGGGAAUGUUGGACAAUGGGGGCAACCCUGAUCCAGCCAUGCCGCGUGCGAGAAGAAGGCCUUCGGGUUGUAAAGCGCUUUUGUUCGGGAAGAAAUCCUCUGGGCUAAUACCCCGGGGGGAUGACGGUACCGGAAGAAUAAGCACCGGCUAACUACGUG
rnacentral:rRNA from 1 species